CUAACGGCUGAACUGGCAACUUGGAGAAGUGGCAAGUCCUAUUUUGAUUAUAUCUUUGAAUAUAAUCUAUAGGAUUGUAUUAAAAUUGAAUAAAGCUUUGUUUAUAUAUUGAUAAUGACAGUAUAUAUAUCGUGUCUUGACUAAUUGCGUGCCAGCAGUCGCGGUAAUACGUAAGAGACUAGUGUUAUUCAUCUUAAUUAGGUUUAAAGGGUACCUAGACGGUCAAUAUAGCUUCUAGAAUGUUAGUACUUGACUAGAGUUUUAUGUAAGAGGGCAGUACUUGAGGAGGAGAGAUGAAAUUCUAUGAUACCAAAGGGACUCGGUAAAGGCGAAGGCAGCCCUCUAUGUAAAAACUGACGUUAAAGGACGAAGGCACAGAGCACAAACAGGAUUAGAUACCCAAGUAGUCUUUGCAGUAAAUGAUGAAUGCCAUAGGUUAGAUUAAGAUUUAGUAUUAUAAUUUUAAAUUAAAUAUUAAACAUUAUUUGGUCUAUAAAUGAAAGUGUAAGCAUUUCACCUCAAGAGUAAUGUGG
rnacentral:rRNA from 1 species